GACGAACGCUGGCGGCGUGCUUAACACAUGCAAGUCGAACGAAGUGGCGAACGGGUGAGUAACGCGUAAUUAACCUGCCCUUCAGAGGGGGACAACAGUUGGAAACGACUGCUAAUACCGCAUACUGAAGGCGGGGAUUGCGUCUGAUGAGCUAGUUGGAGGGGUAACGGCCCACCAAGGCGAGGAUCAGUAGCCGGUCUGAGAGGAUGAUCGGCCACAUGGGGACUGAGACACGGCCCAGACGCCUAAGGGAGGCAGCAGGGGGGAAGCUUCCGCAAUGGACGAAAGUCUGACGGAGCAACGCCGCGUGAGUGAUGACGGCCUUCGGGUGGUAAAGCUCUGUUAAUCGGGACGCGGUACCGGAAUAGAAAGCCACGGCUAACUACGUGCCAGCAGCCGCGGUAAUAC
rnacentral:rRNA from 1 species